GUUUCCUCAACAGGGACCCCAGGCUGUGCCUGCGGCCAGGGAGAAACACGGAGGCGCUGGGAGAAACGCGCACCAGGUGUCCCACAGCCCCCACCGCCAGGAGCACGCCAUUCCUGCGUGGGCGAGAGGACCCCAGCGUGAUUUGAAAAUGACAACAUUGUUUCCAAGCCGGGGUCUGACUGUGUCUCCCAGGCUGGAUUGCAACGGCGCAUUCACAGCCCACUGCAGCCUCAACCUCCUGGGCUCCAGUGAUC
rnacentral:lncRNA from 10 species